GCCCAGGUGGCGAAAUUGGUAGACGCACAGGACUUAAAAUCCUGGGCCCGUAAAAAGGCGUGUGGGUUCGACUCCCACCCCGGGCA
rnacentral:tRNA from 1 species